rnacentral:lncRNA from 1 species
CCUAGUUUUUUAUACGAAACUGUUUAUAGCACCCAUAUUCAGUUCUUUGAUAAUUAUCUCCCCCUACCCAUAGAAGCCAUAUUUUCACAAGUUACUUCCCCUUGCCUACUCAUUUCAGAUUAAUCGAAAUUUCUGUGUAAUUCUGAGGGAAAAAGCCUAAUUUUAUGAACAAUAUAUGGUGGGUAAAGGACUUGUAUAUCUGAGAUAAUGAUAUUAAUAUUUUGUUUCAUCUCAAUAUAAGCAUACCUGCCAACUUUUCAAAAUGCCCAUGGGGAUUUUGCGUGCAAGAUGGCUGUUAUAGUCCUAAAAAACAUCAAGGGGGCCUUCAAAUACAUUUUAAUGUUGUUUUUUUGCUUCUUCAGACUUUAAUAA